UCCCUGGUGGUUCAGUGAUUAGGACUCAGGGCUUUCACUACUGGGGCCCAGGUUCAAUCCCUGGUCAGGGAA
rnacentral:tRNA from 1 species